AAUCUCUGGUAAACUCUCUUAGAAGUUUUAAAAUUUUAUCCACAAUUGCAGGCCUCCCCAACGUGUUGUCCGUUUUUCCCAAUGAAAUCCACACGGUCCAUACCACAAACUCAUGGGAGUUUCUCGGCCUCUAUUGGAAAGAACUCUUUCUUUGGUGCUAGCGAAGCUACUGAAUCAUCGUGGCUAUGGAAGGAAGCAAAAUAUUGCAAAGACGUUAUCAUUGGUGUUUUAGAUUCAGGUAUUUCCCUCUUUGAACUAUCUUUUGGGGAUUGGUUCCAUACCAUGAUCGGAAAAGCUUUCCGACUCUGGCCAUAGUCCUGGAAAAAACCAACAUGAUAGAAAAAGGAGCGGAAAGGAACUUGGGAGCAAUUCAACCCUUCUCACUGCAACAAGAAACUUAUCGGUGCCAGAUUCUUUUCCCACGGCCUACAAGAUGGUCCCAAGGCUUAUGCAAAAGCACACCAAGAACUUCUUUCUCCAAGAGAUGUUGAAGGGCACCGAUUCGUAAAAAACACAACUGGCUUGGCCACGCAAAAGGUACUGCAAAGGGUGGCGCUCCACGCCUCGCAAUCUAUAAGAUGUGCUGGAGAAACAUUACGGACAGCAUAGUGCGGUGCCCGGGGUUCUCAUACUCUCAGCGCCUUUGAUAUGGGAAUCCACAAUGGCGUGGAUAUCUUUUCUGCGUCGAUCGAUGGACAGCAGCCACUGUCGAUUGGUGCGUUCCAUGCCAUGCAGAAAGGCAUUGUGGUGGUGUCUUCGGCUGGAAAUUUGGGUCCUCGCUCGGUGCAAAAUGUAGCCCCUUGGGUUAUCGCUGUUGGAGCGAGCACUAUUGAUCAAACCUAUUUUGGAGACCUUUAUCUUGGCAACAAUAAAUCAUUUCGAGUAUUUCUCGUUACUUAUAAAGAACUAUUUAAAUUUAA